rnacentral:misc_RNA from 1 species
CAAAAUACGACUUAUUUGAAAUUAAUUGAAUGCAGAUUUUUUUAUA